rnacentral:lncRNA from 1 species
UAGAAGAACUGGAAAAGAAAUAGAAAUUGGUGGCUCUAGUAUAUUCACCUUAGGGGCCUUAGGGAUUAAUAAUUCGGCAAUUUUUCCGCAAUUAUGUAAAGUCUUCCGGGUGCAUAAGGAGUAAGGAAUAUGUUGGCUAUCACUAGGUGGCUAAAAUUAUGUCUGCCAGAUGGCGCGAGUGUCUUCGUUACUCAAGACGAAAUUCCGCCAUUUCUUAAAACACUGAUUGGAAACCACAUGUUGAAAACGUAUCGUUGGAUUGGAUUAAGUAAAUACGGCGUACUUUUCUUUCUUGACAUUUUUAUUCGUAAUAAUGGUAUUUAUCUGGUAACAGCUUAUAAUUUCUACAUGGCAAUUUUAUCUGAUCAUGUGGCCUCGGUGUGGCCUGAGCAGCUGAACAUUUUGCCAAAAUGUCUCUUUUUCCUGUACCAGCUUCACAUUGUCAGAAACACUUCAGGGAUUAACACCCUGGUAUCUGGUAACAGCCUAUAAUUUCUGCAUGGCAAUUUCAUCUGAUCAUGUGGCCUGAGCACCUGAACAUUUUGCCAAAAUGCCUCUUUUUCCUGUACCAGCUUCACGUUUGUCAGAAACACUUCAGAACAAUUCAGGAUUAACACCCUGGUGGAGUUUGAGCUUCUUUGUUGCUGCCCAACUUACACGUGGAUUUGACACAGCCAGCUGAGGGCUUUAAUUCUUGUUAAGCGUUUGUAUUCGCGUAGUUGCUGUCUGAUGUGGGACGUUGUUGCAGCCUAUGAUGGUGAAAGAUUUUUCUACAUCAAGUUCAAUUGGCCGUUCUUUGGUGCUGAUGUUGUGUUACCGAAGUUGCAUCAUAUUUUGUUAAAUUGUCAUCGUGACUAUUGCAGUUUACGUUUAUGAGUUCAGAAGCAACAAAAACAAAUAUGGGACGUUUAUUUCAACAAAUAAUAAACAUGUUUCCGGGAUUGGGAAAGGAAAGUGGAGGAUGUUGGAGGAGGGAGGGAUGAUAUUUGAAGUUUGGAUAAAAAUUCUGUUAAUCUAUUACCCUACCAAAUAAUCUCCAAACCCCACAAACAUAUACCUUCCAAUCCUUCAAACCCCGAAAACAUACACCUACUAACCCUUAAAUUUAUACCCAUAACCCUAAAAACCAAUGUUAAACCUUAACCAUGUAAUAUCUGUAAUAAAUAAAAAUAAAUGUUAUA